UACGAAGGGGGCUAGCGUUGUUCGGAAUCACUGGGCGUAAAGGGCGCGUAGGCGGCGCGAGGAGUCGGGGGUGAAAGUCCGGGGCUCAACCCCGGAUCGGCCUUCGAUACUCUCGCGCUGGAGCACAGUAGAGGCGGGUGGAAUUCCGGGUGUAGCGGUGGAAUGCGUAGAGAUCCGGAAGAACACCGGUGGCGAAGGCGGCCCGCUGGGCUGUGGCUGACGCUGAGGCGCGACAGCGUGGGGAGCAAACAGG
rnacentral:rRNA from 1 species